rnacentral:rRNA from 1 species
GACGAACGCUGGCGGCGUGCUUAACACAUGCAAGUCGAGCGGAAAGGCCCUUCGGGGUACUCGAGCGGCGAACGGGUGAGUAACACGUGAGUAACCUGCCCCAGACUUUGGGAUAACCCUCGGAAACGGGGGCUAAUACCGGAUACGACACAGCUUCGCAUGGGGUCUGUGUGGAAAGUUUUUCGGUUUGGGAUGGGCUCGCGGCCUAUCAGCUUGUUGGUGGGGUGAUGGCCUACCAAGGCGACGACGGGUAGCCGGCCUGAGAGGGCGACCGGCCACACUGGGACUGAGACACGGCCCAGACUCCUACGGGAGGCAGCAGUGGGGAUUAUUGCACAAUGGGCGGAAGCCUGAUGCAGCGACGCCGCGUGAGGGAUGACGGCCUUCGGGUUGUAAACCUCUUUCAGCAGGGACGAGGCGUAAGUGACGGUACCUGCAGAAGAAGCGCCGGCCAACUACGUG